UGGCGCUUUCCAGCUUUUUGGCUGACGGAUCCUUCCCUUUUUUCCCCCCCAGGAUUCGGGAAUUCCUUCAACAUCGACACCAAGAGGCCGCAGAUCAUCGCGGGAUCCCGGGAAUCUUUUUUUGGAUACACGGUGCAGCAGCACGACAUCGGCGGCAAGAAAUGGCUGGUGGUGGGAGCUCCGUACGAAUCCAACGGGCAGCAGAAGACCGGAGACGUCUACAAGUGUCCAGUGCUGAGUGACAGCCACGGAAACUGCACCAAGCUCAACCUGGGGCGGGUGACGCUGUCCAACGUGUCGGAGCGCAAGGACAAC